CAAUAGCGUAUAUUUAAGUUGUUGCAGUUAAAAAGCUCGUAGUUGGAUUUCGGAUGGGAUUUGCCGGUCCGUCGUUACGAUGUGCACUGGCCAGUCCUAUCUUGUUGUCGGGGACUAGCUCCUUGGAUUCACUUCCUGGGACUAGGAGCUGACGAGGUUACUUUGAGUAAAUUAGAGUGUUCAAAGCAAGCCUACGCUCUGAAUACAUUAGCAUGGAAUAACACGAUAGGACUCUGGCUUAUCUUGUUGGUCUGUGAGACCAGAGUAAUGAUUAAGAGGGACAGUCGGGGACAUUCGUAUUUCAUUGUCAGAGGUGAAAUUCUUGGAUUUAUGAAAGACGAACUCCUGCGAAAGCAUUUGUCAAGGAUGUUUUCAUUAA
rnacentral:rRNA from 1 species